GCCGAGAUAGCUCAGCUGGGAGAGCAGCAGACUGAAGAGUGCCCACGGGCGUCUAAUUAAGGCUUCUGAAGGUCGGGUGUUCGAGCCACCCUCUUGGCA
rfam:Phlebia centrifuga strain FBCC195 PHLCENscaffold_2504, whole genome shotgun sequence.